rnacentral:rRNA from 1 species
AUUGAACGCUGGCGGCAGGCCUAACACAUGCAAGUCGAACGGUAACAGGAAGAAGCCUGCUUCUUUGCUGACGAGUGGCGGACGGGUGAGUAAUGUCUGGGAAACUGCCUGAUGGAGGGGGAUAACUACUGGAAACGGUAGCUAAUACCGCAUAACGUCGCAAGACCAAAGAGGGGGACCUUCGGGCCUCUUGCCAUCGGAUGUGCCCAGAUGGGAUUAGCUAGUAGGUGGGGUAACGGCUCACCUAGGCGACGAUCCCUAGCUGGUCUGAGAGGAUGUCCAGCCACACUGGAACUGAGACACGGUCCAGACUCCUACGGGAGGCAGCAGUGGGGAAUAUUGCACAAUGGGCGCAAGCCUGAUGCAGCCAUGCCGCGUGUAUGAAGAAGGCCUUCGGGUUGUAAAGUACUUUCAGCGGGGAGGAAGGGAGUAAAGUUAAUACCUUUGCUCAUUGACGUUACCCGCAGAAGAAGCACCGGCUAACUCCGUG